rnacentral:misc_RNA from 1 species
GUUUGUAACGUAUUUUAACCUAUUGGUGACGUCGUUCUUUAUUACUAUCGUUACUGUACCUUUUACUAUCGUUUAUAUCUCGUUAAUAUCGUUUAAUUAAUACACAUCUAUUUAACGAUUCAUCGAACAGUAAGCAGUUUCCUGAAAUUUUUUGUUGGAACUUUUUUCAGUCGUUUAUUAAAUGAUACUGUUACCGGUAGCUUCUAUCGUUAUUGAUCGAUAACAGGGAUAAUAUACAAGUAACAGGAAUAUUAAUAUAUGGACGCAACGACGAUUAUUGAUCGAUCCAAUGAAUUUUUAUGGAAAUUUGGUUUUUACGAAUCCUAGUAAGGUUUCUAGUUUUCGCGUCGGUUUUUCUUAAAAAAAGCUCCUUUCGCUGUUUGUUUUGAACAUCGUGCAAACGCACACCGAAAGGAGUAUUUAUUUGACGA